GAAGCUGGCUGGCUGAGAAUAAGAAAAUACAGUAUGUGAGCACUUGGAGGAGAAACUGUAGGUUGCAAUAGUGGAAGGGAGGAGGAUUUUGAGCAAAAGAAGAAACUUGUGUUGUUAGGAGCUGCGACCACGCUAUUCAUUGCCUGAGUAGCCAAGCAUGUUAAGGUUUCUGCUGGAAAGGAAGACAUCACUUUCUAGGAAUAUCUCUAUGAAAUGGCUCGCACAGACUGUGGACCAGGGAAGGAUGAUGCUACAGAUGCACGGUCUCUCCAAGGCACCAACUGAAUCCAGCAUCUGUGUAGAGAGAAGAGAUUCAGCCCCAAGAUGAGAUCCAGGAAUCUAGGAUGUACUCAGGGAGAUGAAGACUACAGCCUACUCAUUCUGUCACUUUAUGCCCCCCUCUUUCUCCUCUCACUCUCUCAGUAUGGUGCAUUAUAGAACAACAAAGAGAGAAAAGGAAAUGAAGACCAUGAGCCUUGCAUAAUAAAUAUUAACUGAGAAGUACCUGGAUCUUAUGAGAAAUAUAUACCUUAUUAAAAAAAGCCAUGCUCUUCAAACUGGCCAGGAUUUAAGUGAUUUCCAGUGAGUACCUUACAAGAAUUCUUCUCAUGUGUGGAGGAGAAGUUCAACACCAUAAAUGGAUGUGGUACAGCGCCCCAGAGGGAAUUACAAUGAAAGUGAAAUCCAAAGAAUUCCAAGAGAACCACACCUGCAGAUCAUGCUCCAUUCAUUUGUGUACUUCCCCCUACUCAGUCUUUAAACCCACAGUGUAGCAAUUUCCAAAGGGAGCUCAAUGCAUAGAUCCCAGGCCCCUUCAUCUGAGCUCAUGGUUGUAUAAACCUCAGUGUCCAUAUCCUACUGAAACUCUGCCCAGAGGAAAGCAUGUGUUUUCUCAGAACUACUUAUUUUGCUCUUAGAUUAUUUUUAAAAUUUUACUCUUAGAUAUUUAUUGACCUUGAUAAUAUACUAAACUGUUUUUGUUUGUUUGUAUGUUUGUAUUUUAUUGUGGUUAUGUUCUCUUUAAGGUCCAUUACAGUGUUGGAAAACAGUGUAUUCUCUAAAUAAAAAAGAGAAAAAUUUAAAUUAAAAGA
ensembl:lincRNA Gm12371 predicted gene 12371